UCAGGAUGAACGCCGGCGGUGUGCCUAAUACAUGCAAGUCGAACGCGUUGGCCCGACUGAUUGAUGAUGCUUGCAUCAGAUUGACGACGGUUUACCAACGAGUGGCGGACGGGUGAGUAACACGUAGGCAACCUGCCCAGAAGCGGGGGACAACAUUUGGAAACAAGUGCUAAUACCGCAUAACAACGAAAACCGCCUGGUUUUCGUUUAAAAGAUGGUUUCGGCUAUCACUUCUGGAUGGGCCUGCGGCGCAUUAGCUAGUUGGUAAGGUGACGGCUUACCAAGGCAGUGAUGCGUAGCCGAGUUGAGAGACUGAUCGGCCACAAUGGAACUGAGACACGGUCCAUACUCCUACGGGAGGCAGCAGUAGGGAAUCUUCCACAAUGGGCGCAAGCCUGAUGGAGCAACACCGCGUGAGUGAAGAAGGGUUUCGGCUCGUAAAACUCUGUUGUUGAAGAAGAACGUGCGU
rnacentral:rRNA from 2 species